GUAGGCAUGGCCGCGCAGGCGCGCGGUGGAGGACGCGUCUCUCCAUGCCCCGCCCUGCCCCUCUCWGAAGCACGUGCGCUCGCGUCAUUUCCUGUUAUUCUUUUCUCUCCCACUCCGGUGUUGUGGGUUUGCUGGGGACCGACUCUUGGGGCGUGUCUGCUUCCUCUUUUUUGUCAGACUUUAAUGCUGCUUGCCCAGUGCUGUGCAGACGGCCUUGAGAAGUUCCUGGGCUCAUUCGAGAGCCACAGAAUCAGCAGAUGUACAAUGUGCUGUGUGGACACUCAGAAGGGUUGCCUGGCCCACUGUGAGGUGCAGGAUGGUGUCUCAAGGAAGGCUUGCUGAGGGAGGGUUUGAAAAUCAGGCAUUGCCUGGGCAGUAGGAAGGGGUAGGGCGAGACUGGAGGGUGGGCCAGGCCAGCGCUACGGGAGAACUGCAUUGAGGAGUUUGGAUCUUGUCCUGAAGGUCAUGAAGUAUUUUCAUGAUGGUGGUGUGCCAGUCAGCAGUCACUGUUGCUCUGGAAGUCUCUUGGAAAGKAGCGGGGAGAUGGGAGAGUAGGUGAGGCCAGUUAGAGACACUUGAAAUGAUGUGGGAAAGGCCAGAACGAAACCACAGCUGAAGGGCAGUGAGGAGGACAUGGCUUCCAGGGAGACGAAGGGACUUAGACCAAGCUGGGCAGAGGUGUCCAGCUCAAUGAAGCCAGUAGGUGACCCAUUUACUAAGGGAGCAGAUCCAGGGAGACCAGGUUUGGGGAAUGGGAGGAGAGUUUGGUUUGGGGCAUAGGGAGGUUGAAAUGCAGAUGAAAACAGGUAUCAAGUAAUGAGGGGUCUUAAAGGCUGUGGCAAGGGGUUUAUCUUCAGAUUUCUCCUAAGAAACAUGGGAGUUAUGAAAGACAAGCAGCCGGAUAAUUUUAGAAUGAUUACGCUGGCUUCAGGGUAGGCUGGCACGGUGCACCAGGCCUGAGAAGGCAGUGAUCUAGAGCAGUCCCCUAGGUAUGGAGAGCAAGUUGUGUAGAUCAGGCUUCAGCAGGAGAUUCAUGUGAACCAGAGGGGCAGGUAGAGAAWAUCCACAGUGACAUUUGGCUGUCUAGUUUGACAGCUGAAUGGAUAUUAUUGCCUAUCUGCUGAAGUCAGUUAACAGGGAGCAGAAGAAAAAUAAUAUUUAAUUGAGGAUAAUAAUAGCAACUAAUACUUAUAUAGCUCUUGUUUUGUAUCAUAUUUUUAAUUUCUUAUUUUAGUUCUCACAACAAUCCUAUAAGGCUAUCAUUAUCCUCUUCAUUUUUCAGAUGAGGACAUUAAAGAGCAAUUAAGCAAUUGCUUGAGGUUACACAGMAAGCCCAUGGUGG
rnacentral:lncRNA from 1 species